rnacentral:rRNA from 1 species
UACGUAGGUGACAAGCGUUGUCCGGAUUUACUGGGCGUAAAGAGCGCGCAGGCGGUCGAUCAAGUCGAGUGUGAAAGCCCCCGGCUCAACUGGGGAGGGUCAUUCGGUACUGAUCGACUCGAAGGCAGGAGAGGGUAGUGGAAUUCCCCGGUGUAGUGGUGAAAUGCGUAGAUAUCGGGAGGAACACCAGUGGCGAAGGGCGACU